rnacentral:rRNA from 1 species
CCUGCGGGAGGCAGCAGUGGGGAAUAUUGGGCAAUGGGCGCAAGCCUGACCCAGCAAUGCCGCGUGAAGGAAGAAGGCUCUCGGGUUGUAAACUUCUUUCGGACGUGACGAUGAUGACGGUAGCGUCUAAAGAAGCACCGGCAAACUUCGUGCCAGCAGCCGCGGUAAUACGAAGGGUGCGAGCGUUGUUCGGAAUUACUGGGCGUAAGGGGAGUGUAGGCGGAUAUGUAAGAUAGCGGUGAAAUGCCGGGGCUCAACCCCGGAACUGCCAUUAUGACUAUGUAUCGAGAGUAAUGGAGAGGAUAGCGGAAUACCCAGUGUAGAGGUGAAAUUCGUAGAUAUUGGGUAGAACACCGGUGGCGAAGGCGGCUAUCUGGCCAUUUACUGACGCUGAGGCUCGAAAGCAUGGGGAUCAAACAGGAUUAGAUACCCGAGUAGUC